rnacentral:rRNA from 1 species
GACGAACGCUGGCGGCGUGCUUAACACAUGCAAGUCGAACGGAAAGGCCCUGCUUUUGUGGGGUGCUCGAGUGGCGAACGGGUGAGUAACACGUGAGUAACCUGCCCUUGACUUUGGGAUAACUUCAGGAAACUGGGGCUAAUACCGGAUAGGAGCUCCUGCUCCAUGGUGGGGGUUGGAAAGUUUCGGCGGUUGGGGAUGGACUCGCGGCUUAUCAGCUUGUUGGUGGGGUAGUGGCUUACCAAGGCUUUGACGGGUAGCCGGCCUGAGAGGGUGACCGGCCAAAUUGGGACUGAGAUACGGCCCAGACUCCUACGGGAGGCAGCAGUGGGGAAUAUUGCACAAUGGGCGGAAGCCUGAUGCAGCAACGCCGCGUGCGGGAUGACGGCCUUAGGGUUGUAAACCGCUUUCGCCUGUGACGAAGCGUGAGUGACGGUAAUGGGUAAAGAAGCACCGGCUAACUACGUG